rnacentral:rRNA from 1 species
UACGGAGGUGGCAAGCGUUGUUCGGAAUUACUGGGCGUAAAGGGCGCGUAGGCGGCAAGGCAAGUCAGGUGUGAAAGCCCCGAGCUUAACUCGGGAAUUGCAUCUGAAACUGCUGUGCUUGAGUUCUGGAGGGGGUAGUGGAAUUCCCAGUGUAGCGGUGAAAUGCGUAGAUAUUGGGAGGAACACCUGCGGCGAAGGCGGCUACCUGGACAGAAACUGACGCUGAGGCGGCGAAAGCUAGGGGAGCGAACGGG